rnacentral:rRNA from 1 species
AAAUGGACUCUCAGCAACGGAUAUCUUGGCUCUUGCAACGAUGAAGAACGCAGCGAAAUGCGAUACCUAGUGUGAAUUGCAGAAUUCCGUGAAUCAUCGAGUUUUUGAACGCAAGUUGCGCCCGAGGCUCUUGCCGAGGGCAUGUCUGUCUGAGCGUCCAU